CACGUAGGGUCCGAGCGUUGUCCGGAGUGACUGGGCGUAAAGCGCGCGCAGGCGGCCUGUUAGGCACGACGUGAAAGCCCCGGGCUCAACCCCGGGAGGGUCGUCGUGAACCGGCGGGCUUGAGGCCGGUAGAGGUGGGUGGAACUCCUGGUGGAGUGGUGAAAUGCGUAGAGAUCAGGAAGAACACCCGUGGCGAAGGCGGCCCACUGGGCCGGAACUGACGCUGAGGCGCGAAGGCGUGGGGAGCGAACGGG
rnacentral:rRNA from 1 species